ACGCACGCUGGCGGCGUGCUUCACCCCUUCCAGUCGCACGGAAAGGCCCUGCUUUUGUGGGGUGCUCGAGUGGCGAACGGGUGAGUAACACGUGAGUAACCUGCCCUUGACUUUGGGAUAACGUCAGGAAACUGGGGCUAAUACCGGAUAGGAGCUCCUGCUGCAUGGUGGGGGUUGGAAAGUUUCGGCGGUUGGGGAUGGACUCGCGGCUUAUCAGCUUGUUGGUGGGGUAGUGGCUUACCAAGGCUUUGACGGGUAGCCGGCCUGGGAGGGGGACCGGCCACAUUGGGACUGAGAUACGGCCCAGACUCCUACGGGAGGCAGCAGUGGGGAAUAUUGCACAAUGGGCGGAAGCCUGAUGCAGCAACGCCGCGUGCGGGAUGACGGCCUUCGGGUUGUAAACCGCUUUCGCCUGUGACGAAGCGUGAGUGACGGUAAUGGGUAAAGAAGCACCGGCUAACUACGUG
rnacentral:rRNA from 1 species